rnacentral:rRNA from 1 species
GAUGAACGCUGGCGGCGUGCCUAAUACAUGCAAGUCGAGCGAAUGGAUUAAGAGCUUGCUCUUAUGAAGUUAGCGGCGGACGGGUGAGUAACACGUGGGUAACUUGCCCAUAAGACUGGGAUAACUCCGGGAAACCGGGGCUAAUACCGGAUAACAUUUUGAACCGCAUGGUUCGAAAUUGAAUGGCGGCUUCGGCUGUCACUUAUGGAUGGACCCGCGUCGCAUUAGCUAGUUGGUGAGGUAACGGCUCACCAAGGCAACGAUGCGUAGCCGACCUGAGAGGGUGAUCGGCCACACUGGGACUGAGACACGGCCCAGACUCCUACGGGAGACAGCAGUAGGGAAUCUUCCGCAAUGGACGAAAGUCUGACGGAGCAACGCCGCGUGAGUGAUGAAGGCUUUCGGGUCGUAAAACUCUGUUGUUAGGGAAGAACAAGUGCUAGUUGAAUAAGCUGGCACCUUGACGGUACCUAACCAGAAAGCCACGGCUAACUACGUGCCAGCCGCCGCGGUAA